AGUUAUCAAGAAUUUAAUUGCCGAACAAAUAAACUUGAUUCAACACAAGAUGUAAAAGUAAGAAACUAAAAGUAGAAAGAGGAUAAUAUCGUCAAAUUCUUCUGAUAAUGAGGAUAGCGGAAUAAAUAAUAUACCAAUGCCACCUGCCACGUACGUGAGCCAAAAGGAUCAGCAACCACCACCAACAUUUAAAA